rnacentral:rRNA from 1 species
CCCAGACUCCUACGGGAGGCAGCAGUGAGGAAUAUUGGUCAAUGGUCGGGAGACUGAACCAGCCAAGCCGCGUGAGGGAGGAAGGUACAGAGUAUCGUAAACCUCUUUUGUCAGGGAACAAAGGCGGGGACGUGUCCCCGGAUGAGUGUACCUGAAGAAAAAGCAUCGGCUAACUCCGUGCCAGCAGCCGCGGUAAUACGGAGGAUGCGAGCGUUAUCCGGAUUUAUUGGGGUUAAAGGGGGCGUAGGCGGGGCGUUAAAGCCGGGGUAAAAGGCCGGGGCCCCACCCCCGGCGAGCCGUUGAAACUGGCUGUCUUGAGAUGUCGAGAGGUAUGCGGAAUGCGCAGUGUAGCGGUGAAAUGCUUAGAUAUUGCGCAGAACUCCGAUUGCGAAGGCAGCAUACCGGCGGCGAUCUGACGCUGAGGCACGAAAGCGUGGGUAUCGAACAGGAUUAGAUACCCCCGUACG